UAACAGCUUCAGCAGCACAAUGCCCGU
rnacentral:piRNA from 1 species